AGGACGAACGCUGGCGGCGUGCUUAACACAUGCAAGUCACGGGGGCCCGCAAGGGUAACCGGCGAACGGGUGCGUAACACGUGAGCAACCUACCGAGAUCUGGGGGAUAGCCGGCCCAACGGCCGGGUAAUACCGCAUACGCUCUUUCCACGGCAUUGUGGAUUGAGGAAACCGUCCGGGGGAUUUCGAGGGCUCGCGGCCUAUCAGCUAGUUGGCGAGGUCACGGCUCACCAAGGCGACGACGGGUAG
rnacentral:rRNA from 1 species